rnacentral:rRNA from 1 species
AUACGUAGGGUGCGAGCGUUGUCCGGAAUUACUGGGCGUAAAGAGCUCGUAGGUGGUUUGUCGCGUCGUCUGUGAAAUUCCGGGGCUUAACUCCGGGCGUGCAGGCGAUACGGGCAUAACUUGAGUACUGUAGGGGAGACUGGAAUUCCUGGUGUAGCGGUGAAAUGCGCAGAUAUCAGGAGGAACACUGGUGGCGAAGGCGGGUCUCUGGGCAGUAACUGACGCUGAGGAGCGAAAGCAUGGGUAGCGAACAGGAUUAGAUACCCUGGUAGUCCAUGCCGUAAACGGUGGGCGCUAGGUGUAGGGGUCUUCCACGACUUCUGUGCCGUAGCUAACGCAUUAAGCGCCCCGCCUGGGGAGUACGGCCGCAAGGCUAAAACUCAAAUGAAUUGACGGGG